CCGCACCGCUUAAACGCCACCGCUUAAAGGAAAUCUCUCUCUCUCAAAUCCCUAAAAUCGCCGCCGCCAUGGCCAAAAAAUUCCGUCGCUGAAUUCGUCUCUCUCUCUCAAAAAUUCCGCCAUGGCCUAAAAUCGGCGAUCUCAUCGAUCACUGAAUUCGUCGCUGUGUUCAUCGUGGAUCUCAUCUCCUAUCUCCUCUCUGAUAUCAUCUUCGAGCCCAGUCCUCGCCGGAAAUCGAGCCCAGUCCUCGCCGGAGAUUUCUAGGGUUUCAGCUGGUACUCGAUUCAGCUCCGUGCUAUUCAAUUCUGUAAAUGUGACUGUAGACAUAGAGGGGGCGACCACCAUUGCCAAUACCGAUCGAUCUUUCGUAUGUGUGACUCUUGAUUGGUGGCCUGCAGAAAAGUGCAACUAUGGGAUGUGCCCUUGGCAUCAAUCCUCUGUUUUGAACUUGAAGGUGGUGGCCACUCAACAAGAGGAGAUGAAGAGACAACAAGAAGCUCAAGCUACAAGUAUGAUUCAAACAUUUGCAGAUAUGUUGAGUGAAGUAACUGGACGUCCAGUUAGUCCAAGCUUUGUUGACAGGUUUAAAGCGCGUACUAAACUUCCUGAAGAGGCUGCUAGUGUUCUAGAUCAUGAAGAGGCAAGUACCUUUUACACUUCGACAUUUCUUAGCCUUCUUAGCUCUUGAACUGGUUUCUGUAGUUUUUUCUUGACUCGUUUCAGUUACUUCUUCUUUUUCCUCGUUGCUUUCUUCUCGCUCUCCUUUGUGUUCUAGAGAGAUUUCCGGUUUACCAUAUUGCAUGAUAUAGUAAGUUCAGCAUAUUGUAAUGCAAAAACUAAGUACGUUGAGAACAAAUAUCUGCUAAUUUCGGUUCUCUCUGUAU